AGGCUGUAUAGGCUACCCAUAAUUGUAUUAUAGCACUGCCUAUUUCAUUGUCUAAAUACAUAUUAAAUACAUGCUCUCAACAUGCAUUAAUAAUAAUUACACUAUUCAAACAUAGAUUUUCAUAAAUCGAAGGUAGGUUUAUUACUAUACCGCUAGUCACCAGUCUAUCGACAGUCUACUCUACAAGGAGGAGACUGUCCCACUGCGCUCCUGUAAUCCAUACUGUGGCGGCAGGUAGGCUAGUGGUUAGAGCGUUGGACUACUAACCGAAAAGUUGCAAGAUCGAAUCCCCCGAGCUGACAAGGAUGCCUCGCGGACCUACGACCCAGACGUGCCCCCAGGUCGAGCUCCAGAAUGAUGUUCUCACCUACACCCCCUGCCUGAACACCAUGGACCUCAAAGGUAACCCAUGGUAACCAGCAGGGCAUCAUUCAGAAGAGCACCACAUUGCCGAAACGUUCCGAAGUGCUCAACUUCUUCCUUGAAAUUUCACACAGAUGGUUUGCUGAAUGUCUCUUAGAGGUCACAGAUUGAGUAAACAUGUCGUGUUGAAGGUUUUUACAAGGUUUGCCACAAUUACAGUGUACAUCUUUAAGUAUGACAGUGACAUAAAUGGACACUAGAGAUGCAUAUCAUUGGAGUAAGAGAACAGCUACAGGGGUAGAUAUAGAUUGAAAAACAAGGUUGGUUACAUUUAAAUACUGCAUAGACAUCCUCUCUGUCCAUUCUACUGGUAGCCUUCAGAUGCUGAAACAGGAGGGGAGUCUCUAUGAGCCUGGGAAGGAUCCCACCGUUCUCACAUGGUGCGUUUGUCUGUUUGUGUGUGUGUGCCUGCCUGCCUGUGUGUGUUUCCCUCAAACCUUGUCUAUGUGUAUGAAGUAAAUAACUUUUCUUUGCAGGGAGAGCCCGCCAACAAAUAACUCCUUUCUCCCAGACCUGGACAAGCUAGACGUAUGACACACAAGCACCAUGCACACUACGUGUCUUUCAUAAUGUUUAAAAAAAUAAUAAUAAGAUAGCCCAAAAACAACCCCUAGCUUUUAACCCCUUAGCCGAUUACAUGUCUGAAGGAACCAGAUGGGUGUAAACAAUAUUGCCGAAACUCCCUGAAUCCUAGGUGGAUUAGGUGGAGCCGCCUCCAUAUUACUUACACCUGCCCAAUAAUUGCUGUUCUUCAAACACCGAAGGGUCGGGGCUCAGUGCAAGAAAAUUGGAGUUGUUCUUGGACCAGGCAUAACACUUCUCAUUAGUGUCUCAUUCUGACAGUUAAUUUUAUGUCCAGAAGGGGGAGAUAUUGGUUGAUUUUGACUCCAGUGCCUCACUGUUCCGGUAAGGGUUGAAAAACAAAGCGUUUUGCCACAGUGCAGGUGCUCUGUGGCAAAACAAAGGUGAUUUAUAAGUUAGCAUACUAUUAUGGGUGUAAACCUGUAUGACCAGAAAUGUGGUAAAAGAGGAUCAGACCAAGAAACGAGCCUCUCUCUGUCACUCACACACUUCCUUUUCUCCCGAACCGCGUUUCCUGUGUAGGGGCUGUUGCCAUGGAGACGGUGAACAGCCGCUUGGAGCGCGCUCAGAAGGGCUACCGGCUGGAGAGCAAUGUGAGGGUAUGGUCGGACUUCUUGAGGAUCCACCUGCACCCUCACACAAUCUCUGUCAUCCACGAGUACAACCACGAUGGGGAGGCCCACAAUCUGGAAGCGUUUGGCCAGGGGGAGACUCUGCUUCAGGGCUCAGUGCUGGAGGAUCUUGAGGACAGACUACACUUCUUCAUAGAGGGGUUCCAGGUGCUGUGUGACCUGGCCGAUGGCUUCUCAGGCCUGGGUUCAAAGGUCACUGAGAUGCUGCAGGACUCCUAUGGGGGAUGGGGCAUCCUGAGCUGGGGACUUGCACCUGUUAGUCACCCAGACACAGUGGUGGCUGCAUACGGAGCCCUCCCCUUUCCUAUGGCACAGGGCGGCUCUCUCCCUGACACCCUGGGUGACUGCGCAAACGCGUUGCUGUGGCUACCCCUAUCGGCUUGCCCCGAGCAGGGCGGCGACCACUGCUUCGAUCAAUCUGUGACCCUCAAGGGUUUAGAGUUGCAUAGUCUGGUUAGCCAGCUGAGACCAGGCAGGGAUGCAGCCGCCCACCCUGCUGCAUAGCCUUGAUUGUAGGGAAGACGUGCAAGUCUCCUACAUCAAUGCCCACUACCCUGCUAUGCCUUGUUCAGUCCAGCUUGUAUCAAGCUAUUCAGCCAGUCCCUGGGUCCCCAGGGCUUUCUGCAGAGUCAGGCCCCUCCCCCCAACUCGCGGUCGGUCCCCUACAGUCUCCUCUCUCCCGGUGCUCACCUCCCUGCAGUCGUCUCCGGCCCUGGGCCCGUGGCUGUUGGAGCUGCAGCACGGUACCAGCGCCCUGGACCCUCGCCGCAUCGCCCCCCAGUUUCCUCUCCCGGGGGCCUGAGCUGGCCGACUUUCAGCCUCCUGGUUCGCUGUUACCGCGACGAUAGCGGAGGCAUGAUGCGCGCCUCCUCGGAAGAGGACGACGAUGGUUGACAGCGAUGAUUGAUUCACUGACAUCCACAAGAGUCAUUUUCUCUUUUCUGUCUUCUGCAUUGUUAGCCCAGAACAAUUCUGCACACUCCAUACCAUCCGAAUAGAUGGGUCUCGAUUGACCGCGACUGGAGUUCACAGACCCACCCGUCCACAUUGUAUAGUGAUCAUACAGACUCACUGAGACUUGAUAAGGAUUGUGAAUUCUGGUUGGAGACAAUGGACUCGCUGUUUGAGAUGGUGACAGAGAACUGUUACAAUAAAAUAUUGAGGUUUUAAUUGACAAAAGAUAAUGGUCGGACAGUGAAACUAAAUCCUUGUGAAAUAAGAGAGAAAAUAGGGUGAUAGAAUAAGGAAAGGUCGAUGAAGGGAGAAUAUGGUAGGCUACAUAUGAGAACUGAGUGAAACUUGUGGGGGAAGUGACUGAGUUUAUUCGCCAUGUGCACAGGAUACAACAGGUGUAAAACAUUAGUGAAAUUCUUACUUUGAUCACUUUCCCAACAAUGCAGUGAUAAUUAAAAAAAAAUCAACCACAAGAAUGUAAAUGUGUGUAUACAUAAAUGUUAAUCAUACAAAUGUCCAGUUGUCAAUAGUUUCCCAUAUUGGGAUAACAUAAGAUGGCAGUCGUGGUAAAUGUAUGCUAGAAUCUGUGGCAGGGAGGAUAUUAAAAGUGCAAUUAUGUUUGAAAUGUAGUUUUUCUAUCCAUGCCACUAGCAGGCAGCGUUGAAGUAUGGACAUAAAUUCACGGAGAGGUAAGAAAAAGCUGUUCCUUUAAGCACCAGCAACACCGAGAUGGAUUAAAUCCAUUACGCAUCCAUUUCUGUAAAAAGUUAAAAUCAUUUAACAUUAAGAAUAAUUUAAUGGGGAGGAAAAAAUAUUGAAAGAUCUGUUUGGCUGGCCCCUUACAUCUACGUUCGAUGUUUUGCCUAUAGCUUGAAACUAUCUUCUCUGUCGUGUCUAUUUGUGAGAAUCGGGUUGGCUAUAGGCUGAAUGACAAAAUGGAAAGUAUCUAACGGUUAACCACAUACCCACAGCUCAUUCAGAGGAAGCUGGCCAGAAGCAGUUAACUCCUAUCGCGUUUCAUAUUAUCACUAUGACAAGAGAUCAAGAGAAGAGAAACUUGCGAGGAUUUCAAAAACGAGAAACAAAGAAUUAGAUGUCUAAAGUCUGUAUUCCAG